AGCGAACGCUGGCGGCAGGCUUAACACAUGCAAGUCGAGCGGGCGUAGCAAUACGUCAGCGGCAGACGGGUGAGUAACGCGUGGGAACGUUCCUUUUGGUUCGGAACAACCCAGGGAAACUUGGGCUAAUACCGGAUAAGCCCUUACGGGGAAAGAUUUAUCGCCGAAAGAUCGGCCCGCGUCUGAUUAGCUAGUUGGUGAGGUAACGGCUCACCAAGGCGACGAUCAGUAGCUGGUCUGAGAGGAUGAUCAGCCACAUUGGGACUGAGACACGGCCCAAACUCCUACGGGAGGCAGCAGUGGGGAAUAUUGGACAAUGGGCGCAAGCCUGAUCCAGCCAUGCCGCGUGAGUGAUGAAGGCCUUAGGGUUGUAAAGCUCUUUCGGCGGGGACGAUGAUGACGGUACCCGCAGAAGAAGCCCCGGCUAACUUCGUGCCAGCCGCCGCGGUAAC
rnacentral:rRNA from 1 species